CAGCUAUUACCGAGAAACCAAACUAUAUUCUACCGGUAAUAACGGUAUUCAGUAACGCAUUAACUCAUGGUUAAGUAACUCAAGCCAUGGUUGCCAUUCUGCUUUCUAUCCUUUUCAUUCCAAAACGAGUUGGGCUCCGAGAAAGUUCUUUUGUGGUGUUAACAGUUUCUUCAAAAACAACGUAGAAAUGUCUGAAUAUUGCAUCAAUUGUCAUCGAAUAAACACAAAAAAGAGGCAAGUUUUCAAUUCUGCAUUCGAAGAUGAUUAAAAAAAAGAAGAUGUCGACAGGGAUGAGCGGCAGUGAUUUCUCCGACAAGAUGGCGUGCCACCACACUAUGCCGUUCCUGUUCGAGCUUAUUUCAAUCAAUUAUUUCUCAAUAAUCAAGAUUUGACUCCGCCAGACUUCUUCCUUUAGGGAUAUCUGAAGAGUAAACUUUACACCAUUGGACCAAAAAAUACUUUGGAUGAACAAAAAAUCAGAAUAUGAGAAGUUUAGCGAAUAAUUUUUGAUAUCUUCAUCAAUCGUUUAGGAUUUGCCCAAGGUGAUGCCAACCCUCUAAAAGUACAGAUAGUACCGAUUUUUUCUCAGUUGUGCAUCAGUUAACUGUGCACUGAAACAACAAACCACCUUCAAGAAAGUUAUUUUGAUUAACAAUAUAAUGACACCAACUAUGGUUUUGCUGUAGUCUAACUUUUGAAGACAAUUCUUCAGUUUAACAGAUCAAUUAAAUUUAAAUAAGCAACCGAUGCAAUAUUAUAAAUAUUUUUGGAAUCAUCAGUGUAAUUGGAAGUUCCCAAAAAUCCAUGCUUCCUCAAAUGGAAUAAAGUUUCGUCUCUGAACCAUUUGUGCUUGUGUGCGAAUUGCAUGGAUUUCAGAUGGUCAAUCGUUGUGCAACUACAAUGGGGCCAUUACAUUAAUAGUAAAUAUUUUGUCGGAAAUUCAAUAGAACUUCCUUCUGGUCUAUCUAAUUACGAAAAAUGAAAAUUGAUGCUGAACGUGACUUUCCACUGUCACAUGUGGGUUAUUAUCAGACCACAUAAAUUUGUGUAUUAUUUCCACAAUAUGCUGCAGAGAUAUCUCAAUGAUUUCAUAUUUGUGAUGUGUAGUUAGGAACCAGUCUUUUAUGGCUGUGCUAUCGAUAGGUACACAAGUGUUCUACCAAGAAUAAUUGCAAGAGAGUUUGAAUAAUUCUUUGUGGAACACAUGUGUACGUGCAACUUGUACAUUUUGGGAUCUGCGUUUCUGAUCAUUUGUUUUAUUAAGAUUCCCAAAAUGUAACUCUUUCUUAUAACUCUGCUUAUUUUUCUGUGUACUGGAUAUCAUGCAACUCUUCACACAAUUAUUAUGAGUCGUUCACACUUCUGUAUAACUAUCAUUUUUAAAAUUAUAACCAAGAACCUAAAUAUUAAUAAUAUAAGUUUCACGCAAUGUUUUGAAUUUUCAAGAAUAUCAUGAUGCUAUCAUGUGUAAGUCAUGAUGCUCAAUGUCCAUAAUAAUUGUUUUGAAAAGGACUCAUCUUGGCCAAUAAGGUUAAGAUGAGGUUUUUUCAAGAUAUAUUUCAGAAUAUGACGUAUUUCACCAUUAUGAUUACAAGAUAUGAGCCGAUCUUGCUUAUAAAAUACAAAGGUUGGUUUUUUACAACUUUGUCGAAAAUUAAGAUUACUUCUUUAUGGUUCCAAGUCAAACAAAACAGGUCGAAAAAAUAAAUUGAAACACCAUUAAAGUUCAAGCUCUUUGUUAUUUCUUGCAUUUUGUUGUUUUUCUGCUCACCAACCUGUUUGCUUUAUAAUUAAGUGUUGCACCCAAGCUUUCAACAGUCGCCAUCAUGUAAAGACGCAUUAUUAUCUAUUGCGCUUCUGGCUUGGUAAUAACAAAUUCGUUAAUUUCUGAUAAUUUAUCUUUGUUUGUCAUUUUCUCCUCAUUAUAUUUUUAACUAUAAUCAAAGUUCAUUAUAACAGUUGUUAUUUAAAGAACUUAAAUAAAAUAAAAUGAAGUUGCAAGUUAAAAAGACGUUGAACGUUCUGUGUCUACAUAUAAAGUCAGUUUAUAUGUAUAAAUUUAUAAUUUAUAUUAUAUCAUAAAUUUUGAGAAAUGUGAUCGAAUGAUUUUUGCACAUCAUUCCAAUUAAGUUCUUGUUUUAAUUUAACCCAACGAAAAUGAUCAAUAUCAUUUUGAAAAAGAACUGCUUGAUUGUGUAGAAACUCUAGCCAAAUUUUUGAAGAUUCUUUUUCAAAAAACUGUUCUAAAAUUCUAGGACAUUUAUCCUGUGAUAGAAAGUAGGAUUUCAAAGGAUCGUAUAUUUUCAAAAUGAAAAUCGUAUACUGUAACCAAGUAUUUUCUGAUAUUCGACUUCCGCAGUUUCACAAAAUUCUUUAAGCAUUUCAACGGGCAACAAGUCGGCAGCUGUUUUAAUGGAGUAUAAAUAUAGCCUAUCGCGUAGAAAUGCGUUCAUGAUAAGAUUCUGACAAUUGAGUUUGUGGCAUAUAACGCAUUUUCAUAGACACUUGAAAUUAUAUCGAGUACUUUACAUUAAUAUCUAAAGCCAUAUUUCAAUUUGGAAUUUUGUAAAACUGUCAUACUGAAAUCUUUCUAGAUAUUAUUUGUCGGUACGGUAAAAUUCAAAUUAUCGUACAACAAAACUGGUAAUCAAGAUGGUAGCACGUUUAAAAUUUGUUAUCAGUAUAAUUACAUAUUUUUCCAUUUUAUUGUCAUCUUUAACAUAUCAACGUUGGGAAUUUUAAUGUUGUUCUUUAUUGUAUAAAGUAAACUCGGCAAAUCAAUUUAUAGUUUACAAUUAAUUUUAAAGCUUCAAUAUCGAACUGUUCGGUAUGUUGUAAAUUCGAUAUAACUUUCUUCAUAUCUUUGUAAUAUUCGGUCAAAAUACUACCGCAAGUUAAUAGGGUGGUAUUCUUAUUAUUGUUUUUAUCAACUUUAUUGGUAACUUCGUUUAUAUUGAUAAAAUCGCCAGGCUUGAGAAAUUUAUGAUAUGUUACCAACAAAAAUUUCAACGAUUCUUUAGAAAAUUGAAAGGUUGCAUUUUGUUUUUCACUUGCAAACACAGCAAAUUAAAUACAAAGAUGUAAUUAAAUUUUUACGCGCUGCUUCGAAGUUCUGGACACGGCAUGAAUUUUUCCUUCUUACUCAUAAUUUUAUCUUCUUUUCCUGGCUCAAUUUUUUUGCAAUGCUUGGCCAUCCUCCUCACUUAGAUCGAAGGAAUAUUUGUGCAUCACUGUUUCCAGCAUCUGCACCUCCGUUUUAUUCUCAACCCCAAGCCGGGUGUACUGCAUUGGGAGGUUGCCAUAUUUUCUUUUUAAAGUCUCGUUUUUUGGUGUAUACAACAAGCUUAUGAUUAUGCAAUUUCCGUUUAGAUUUAUACUUUUCAAACCGUAUCUAAUUCAGAAUUAUUAUUAAUAAAGGAAAAGAAACUUAACGGGAAAAUAGGUGUUUACAUACCACGUAUAGAGUUUUCGUUGGUAGAUUUAUGGAGUCAACACACAUCCAAUAAAGUACAAGGAGGUGUAUUCAUUUUGAUGCUAAAUACCAUAAUACCUUCUUCUUCUUGAUUAUUAUCACUCAAAUUAAUUGUAGCCAUUCCUUUUUGCGAUGGUGGUGGUGGUUGUCUCUUUAGAUUUUUAGGAAUAGCGUCAAAGUCCAACUGAAGGUGUACAAUUUUUAUCUUUUUAGCAACAAUUUCGUCCUCUUCUACAUCAUCAUUGCUGUAGUUGUUGUUGACUUUCAAUUUGGGGAAAUUAGCCAUCCUCAUCGACACUUAAGUCAAAUACAUACUUAUGCAUUACGGAUGCCAACAUCUGCACCUCUGUUCCGUUUUCAACCCCCAGCCUCGUAUGUUGGACUGGAAGGUUUCCAAACUUUCUCUUCAGUGUAUCAUUUUUCGGGGUAUACAAUAGUGUAAUUAUCACACAAUUCCCCUUCGUUGUAAUACUUUUUACACCAUACCUCAUUCAGAAUUAUUAAUAAACGGAAAAAAAGAAAAAGAAACUUACCGGUAGAACAGGUUUGCACACCACAUGUAAUGUUUUUAUUGGCACAUUCAUCAUGUCAGUACUGCUAACCAGUAAAGUACAUGGUGGUGUAGACAUUUAUAUGUUGAAUAAUUUGCUAAUUAAGCAUAAAUGUGGAUUAUCUUAAUAAAAAUCAUUUAGUUAUCGAUGUUUUGCAGAUGUAUUCGCUUUCAAUUUUUCUGUUAUUUCCAGAUUUAUCUCCUCAUGACGGAUCAACUUUCUAACGAUUUAGUAUCUAAAAUUAAACGUGUUAGUACAAUAAUUAAAACCAAGAGACAGUUUGUACAUUGGAUAAAAUUAUUAAACAGUAUAAUUUGUACAAUGCGAAAAAUUAUUAAAAAUAAAGUAGGGGAGACCGGCUUCAGUAGACCAAUUAGGAGUAUAUUGUUUAUCGAAAAUUGCUUGAGAUUUAGAUAUUCUUACAUGAUCACCUACAUUGAAUUUACGUUUAAGAAAAUUGCUAAUUUUAAUAUUAUUAAAUAAUGUGGAAAGUAAUUUUUUUUCAUGCUUUUGCGUAACUUCAAUUGGCUUCAUUCCGAUUGUUUUGUGUUGUUAUACUUAUUUACAAUGUCAUCUAAAAUAUCAAUCCAUUUAUAAUUUCCUCUGUAACUGAAUUCUUUCCACAUCAUAUUCUUUAACGUACUAUAUAUACUUUGCCGGCCGCCAGCUUCUACACUUCAUAUAAUUAAUAGCUGACCGCCAGCUCUUACAAUUCAUGCAGUUUUUUUGUAGUUGUUCGAAGUGUCCAGCACUUGGAACAACAUUUUAUUUUCGGUGCUGGACAAUGUUUUUGCCAAUGUCCAGCUUCCAGACACCACCAACACACCUGGGGUACUUGGAAUGGUAUAACAUUCCCAGUAUCCCAAGUUACAUCAUCCUCUUGUUCUAAAAGAGGAAGAAGAAGAGGUUAUGUAGAGAAUCAAUUACUUUAAUGAAAAACAAAAAAAAAAAAAACUUACUACUCAUUACUUCAAUGAAAAAAGCUUUACUGCUCAUUGUCCUUGUAUUGUGAUUUGUAUUUAGGUACAUACGAAUGUUAAAAUCAAUAAAAAACAGUUAUCGUUGAAAA